AUACGUAGGGGGCGAGCGUUGUCCGGAUUUACUGGGCGUAAAGGGUGCGUAGGUGGUUUCUUAAGUCAGGUGUGAAAGGCAUAGGCUCAACCUGUGUAAGCACUUGAAACUGAAUGACUUGAGUUAAGGAGAGGAAAGUGGAAUUCCUAGUGUAGCGGUGAAAUGCGUAGAUAUUAGGAGGAAUACCAGUGGCGAAGGCGACUUUCUGGACUUAUACUGACGCUGAGGCUCGAAAGCGUGGGGAGC
rnacentral:rRNA from 1 species